rnacentral:rRNA from 1 species
AUUGAACGCUGGCGGCAGGCCUAACACAUGCAAGUCGAACGGUAACAGAAAGCAGCUUGCUGCUUUGCUGACGAGUGGCGGACGGGUGAGUAAUGUCUGGGAAACUGCCUGAUGGAGGGGGAUAACUACUGGAAACGGUAGCUAAUACCGCAUAACGUCUCAAGCCCAAAGAGGGGGACCUUCGGGCCUCUUGCCAUCGGAUGUGCCCAGAUGGGAUGAGCUAGUAGGUGGGGUAACGGCUCACCUAGGCGACGAUCCCUAGCUGGUCUGAGAGGAUGACCAGCCACACUGGAACUGAGACACGGUCCAGACUCCUACGGGAGGCAGCAGUGGGGAAUAUUGCACAAUGGGCGCAAGCCUGAUGCAGCCAUGCCGCGUGUAUGAAGAAGGCCUUCGGGUUGUAAAGUACUUUCAGCGGGGAGGAAGGGAGUAAAGUUAAUACCUUUGCUCAUUGACGUUACCCGCAGAAGAAGCACCGGCUAACUACGUG